AAGUUAGGUAGAGGGGAGUAGCUCCCAGCAGCGGUCAUCGUCAGCACGUUUCACUUAGCGUGGACCGGUGCCGCAGGUCAGGGCAUAUACAUCUUACUAUGUCUGAUGAGCAAGACCUUUACCUGGCGA
rnacentral:misc_RNA from 1 species